AUCCAAUUCUCCUUUUCCUUCGUUCACCCCUUUUCAUUAUCAUCGAUUUUAUUUUGUCUUCCCCUUUCAUAAUCCUCUGUAAACCCUAGAAGAGUCUACACCAGUUCUUCGAGGUUACUGAUUCAAUCUGAUGGAAUGAUGGAUCUUUAUUCUGGCAUUUGGAGAGAGGGAAAUGGUCGAUAUUUACUGGCCUUUUGGAUCUUUAUUUACUGUUCUCUCAUACUCUUUGUGGAUUAGGGUUUUUUUUUUGUUUCCAUUGUUCCUCUUCAUCGGAUAAUCCCUCAUUCGCAUUCUGUUUGGAGAAAACCUAGCCGCAGUCCAUGGAAUCAGGGUUAUGUUAUAUUUGGCUAUUGAUGUUGAGAUCAAGCUUUUCUAUAUGCAAUGGAAGAGCAAUACAAGCCAUUGAAAGAAUUUGGUGCCGGGGAUUUUGUAAUAGCAAGCCUGGUUAUAGAUAAGAAGAUGAAAGAACUGUUUGCUAUCAAAGACAAUGAAUGAGGGAAACAGGUAUAAUCAUUAUUUUCUGAAUUGUGAGAAGAAAUAACCUUCAAUAGCGAUUUUGAAACCCAUCAAAUUUCUUUAUCAUUAUAUGUGGUUUACCUCACUUUCUAAAAGAAAUCAUUAUUUUUCUUUUUUAGUGAGUAAAUAUAUGUUAUAAUUUAGGGAUUAAGUCGAGUCUGAUUUCGUUGGAAUGACAAUUCUCCUUGAACGGUUUGUUAAUCUCGAGUGGCGAUUUGAAAUGUUUACUAAUGAAUAGAUCGAUAAAUGUUGUAUGUUAUUUCAAACGGGUCUAUCAAAAUUAGUUUCUGUAAAUGUUUUAUAUAUGCUUUGUGUCUGAAUUUCAUAACA
rnacentral:lncRNA from 1 species